rnacentral:misc_RNA from 1 species
GAUAAAGAACGCAGCGAAAUGCGAUAAGUAAUGUGAAUUGCAGAAUUCAGUGAAUCAUCGAAUCUUUGAACGCACAUUGCGCCCGCCAGCAUUCUGGCGGGCAUGCCUGUUCGAGCGUCAUUUCAACCCUCGAGCCCCCCCGGGGGCCUCGGUGUUGGGGGACGGCACACCAGCCGCCCCCGAAAUGCAGUGGCGACCCCGCCGCAGCCUCCCCUGCGUAGUAGCACACACCUCGCACCGGAGCGCGGAGGCGGUCACGCCGUAAAACGCCCAACUUUCUUAGAGUUGACCUCGGAUCAGGUAGGAAUACCCGCUGAACUUAAGCAUAUCAAUAAGCGGAGGA